ACCAAGGACGAAACCUCAGAGGCGGGGUGGGUGGGGACGACCUGUGGGAUGUGAAACACAAGAGCAGUCAAGUACAACAUCCCUAGAGUGGACAUAGAAGGGGAUGUCCCUAAAAGAGUUGGGCUGGCAGCCAUUUCUCUCUUUUACUCCGGACUUCAAGCAAGUAACAUCUGCUUAGUCAAAGAUGCUCUCUUGGCUACCAGCCAAGAGAGAACAAAAGAACUAUCUCCUUAUGAGAUAGAUUCCAGGUGUAUGUAACUUUUUCUAAGCAAAAUCAGUCUGCCUUCUGGGAUGUUAUAUGUGAACAGGAUGAUGUACUCUUCUCCCUGAUUACGUAGUCUCCCCAUCAGUUCGGCUAGUUCCAUAAAGUCCAUCAUCUUCAUUUGCCAAUCUUCCACUGUUGGUAAUUCUUGUGUCUUCCAGUUCUUGGCUAUCAGUAUUCUCGCUGCUGUUGUGGCAACAAUUUGUUCUUUUUAAUUCUAAGAUGGCUAGUGUAGUUUUUGAUGGUGAUGCAGGGCAAGGAAUGCCUAUGCUGAAUGAACACAAUUUUAUUCCAUGGAAGAAACGUUUGAUAGCAUUUUUAGAUGCAAAGCAUGUUUUGGAUGCUAUAGAAAAUCCUAAGCCUACUGGCUCAAGUGAAGAGGACUUUGCAAAGAUUAAGUUAUGGGAGCUACAAAAUAAUAAUGCCAAGACUAUUAUUUUUAGUCUACUUCGUGAUGAGCAUCUAUCAUUAAUAAAUAGUAAAGAUGAUGCAUCUCAAAUCUUAAAUGAUAUUGAACGCAUGUAUAGAGAAUAUUCCAAGAACAACUACAGAACCUGGAUAUGUCAAUUAACCAGACUGAGAAUGAAUUCUAAAGAAGAAUUCAUACAGCACAUCCUCAAGUUUACUGAGAUUGUUGAAAAAAUUGACUUUACUCCUAGGCCUUUGGAUGAAGAGACAAAGAUAGCAGUUUUGCUAGCAUCUUUAGGACCGCAAUUCAAGACAUUUGUAAGCAUAAUGCGACAUAGAGAAUGUCUAACUUUUAAAGACCUGAUCAGUCAUUUAAGAGAGGAAUGCAGAGGGAGAUCUGAGUCUCCAGUAAGAACUGCUAGAAGCAAGAACAGUAAUUAUGCGUCCAAACAAUUUGUAAAGUCAAGAGAGGUGCCCAAGAAAGUGGUUUGCUUCAAUUGCAGAAAGGAAGGACAUAUAGCAAAGAACUGCAAAGCUCCCAAAACAAGGAAUUCCCACCCCUUUCAGCCAAAAGGGGAAAAGAAGGGGAAAUUUGAACGUACCUUGUGAAAAUAAACAUAAGUGGAUUUUAUAUUCUGGAGCAUCUUCACAUUUCUGUUUUGAAAAGGACUAUUUUAAUGAGAUAAAUUAUGAUGAAGGAUCUGAAAUUGAGAUUGCAGAUGGCAACAUUGUUAAAGCAGAAGGUGCAGGUUCUAUGGACUUGAAAUUCAAUGUAAACGGAGAAUCUUUUAAGACUAAAGUGUCUAUAGAGUUCUUUAUGUACCACAAUUGAGCUCCAAUUUACUCAGCGUGUCCACUUUGGACAGAAAAGGUUUCCAGAUUACUUUUGAAAAUGGAGAAUGCAAUGUAACUAAAGAUGGUGAAGUGUUUGUUCAAGCCAAGCUAAUAAAUGGUGUAUAUGAGAUUGCUCUUUCAGAGAACCAGUCUGCAAAAGUAGCACACUGCAGCCAGAAGGAUGAAGCUGAUCUGAGCCUGUGGCGCAAGAGGCUUGGACACAGGGACAUCAACGUUAUUCUGGAUCUACAGAGAAGAGAUCUUGUAAGAGGUUUGCAGGUAACAGAGAGCAAGAGAGCUCCAGCAAAGUGUGUAAGUUGUGUUACUGAAAAGGCUGUAAAACCUUUUCCACGUUGCACAGAACAGAGAAGCACCAGAGUGCUUGACAUUGUACACACUGACUUAUGUGGAUCCUUGAAUGUUCCAUCGUCUGGAGGCAAAGGAUACAGAGUAAUGGACUUACAAACUUGUAAUACAAGUGCACACCAUGCAAUUUAUUUUGAUGAACAUAGCAAAGUUGACAUUAAGAAAAGUGUUAUCGGCUGUUCCAGAGAGUCAGAAAGGAUUUGAGAGUUUGCAUACUUCCCUUUUGAAACCCCACAAAGUACUAAUCUGCCCUCUAGUGUCACAGCCCCCCCUACAGGCAGCGCAGCAGAGGACCAGACCCCUGGCGGCACCAGAGACGAAGAGGAGGGCUCAGAUGGGGACCUGCCGGUGUUGGAGGAGGAUGAGGAAGCUGAUGCAGUCACAGAACCAGAGGUCAGACGCUCAUCCAGAACCAACAGAGGUGUCCCACCAUUAUGGCUGUCCUACUUCGCAGGGUCGACGUUUCCACAGGAACCUUCCACGUGGGAAGAGAUACAGGAGAUGCCAGCUGCUGAAGCCAGUCUCUGGAGGAAGGCCGCGCAGGAGGAGAUGGAUGCACUGCAUCAAAACAAGACCUGGACACUUAAAGAGCUACCUCCCAGUAAGAAGGCCGUUGGCAGCAAGUGGGUUUUCAAGGUUAAGAAGGGGUCAGGAGGAGAAGUGCAACACUACAAAGCUAGACUAGUAGCACAAGGAUUUUCACAACGUUUUGGUGAAGACUGUGAUGAGGUUUUUGCACCAACCGUGAAGUACAGCAGCGUAAGAAUGUUUUUGAGCAUUGCAGCCUCCAACAAAUUACAAGCACAUUGACAUUGCUACUGCUUUUCUUCAUGGGCAGAUUUCUGAGAAAAUUUACAUGAAACAGCCCAAAGGUUUUGUAAAACCAGAAGAGGCACAUUUAGUGUGCAAGCUGCAAAAGGGACUUUAUGGACUUAAGCAGGCUGCUAGAGCCUGGAAUCAGAAGUUGCAUAAAAUGUUGAUGCAACUUGGAUGCAAGCAAAGCAGUGCUGACAAAUGCUUGUACAGUAAGUCAAAUAGUGGACAAUUUUCAUAUAUCCUAGCAUUUGUUGAUGGCUUGAUUAUUGCUACAGCAAGUGAAAGAGACUACGCACAGAUAGUAGAACACCUUAGCAAAGUGGUGGAGGUCAAGGAACUAGGAGAUGUCCAGUAUUACCCUGGGAUUCAAGUGGAAGGAGAAGAAGACGGCUCAUUUCUUCUCGGGCAGAGGCAAAAGAUCCACGAACUGAUUGAAUGUAUGCAGAUGCAAGAUGCGCACCCAGUUGCUACACCUAUGGCCACAGACUUCUUGAAGAAUCAGCAGGAUUUGAAGCCGUUGCCAGAUAACAGUGAAUACAGGUCGGCGAUUGGUAAACUUUUGUAUUUAGUUACCACAUGUAGACCUGACUUAGCAAAUGCUGUGGGGAUUCUUAGCAGAAAGGUGAAUUCUCCCACUGAGCAUGAUUGGGCAGGUGUAAAAAGGGUGGUGCGGUAUUUGAAGGGUACAAUGAAGUAUAAAUUAAGGUUACCAGCUGUCAGAAACCCUAAGUUGGUUGGGUACACUGAUGCAGAUUGGGCUGGGGACAAUGCUGAUUAUAAAUCAACAAGUGGUCAUGUUUUUAUGUUUGGGGGUGGACCUGUUGUAUGGGGUAGUUAUAAAUAGAGCUGUGUAGCAUUGUCUUCCACAGAAUCAGAAUAUGUUGCAGCAACAGAAGCAUGCAGAGAGGUUGCCUGGCUCGAUCAACUCAUCAAGGACUUUGGGUUGGUAAGAAAGGGACCUGUCAGCUUAAUUGAGGUCAAUCAGAGUUGCCUGAAGCUGACGCAAAGUGAGAAGUUCCAAGCGAGAACAAAACAUAUAGGCGUAAAGUACCAUUAUAUACGCGAGAUGAUCCAGGAUGGACUUGUGGAACUGUCUUACUGCAGCACCGAAGAGAUGGCUGCUGACAUCCUGACAACGCCCCUGCCAAGAGAGAGUUUCCAGAACCUACGUGUCAAGCUGGGACUUUGGGUGGUUAAAUAAAGUUGUUUAUGUUUUUGUGCAGGCAUCCCCAAACUUCAGCCCUCCAGAUGUUUUGGACUACAAUUCCCAUCUUUCCCGACCACUGGUCCUGUUAGCUAGGGAUCAUGGGAGUUGUAGGCCAAAACAUAUGGAGGGCCGCAGUUUGGGGAUGCCUGUUUUUGUGCAUGUUGUAUUGCCUGAAAAGGGGUAUGUGGGAUGCGAAACACAAGACCAAUCAAUUACAACAUGCCUAGAGCGGACAUAGAAGGGGAUGUCUGGGCCAGUCAGAUGUAUGGGCUAUGUAUUACAGGUGUAUGUAACUUUUUCUAAGCAGUCUGCCUUCUGGGAUCUUCUAUGUGAACAGAAUGAUGUGUGAGUAAACUCUUUUUAUACUCUUAUAGAA